ensembl:lncRNA
CGCCUGCUUCGGGCAGUGCGACCCAGGACCACACAGGACCCCGUGCUGCCAAGGGCCCGGAGCUUAGUUCCCGCUCUGCUAUCACCGCCUCGAAAUUCACAGUAAUUUGGGAACGAGUUUACCCAUCUUUUCGUUGCUGGGGCCUAUCCCUCCCGCGCCGCAGUGAAAUGAGGAUAUCCCACUUUGCGGACCGAGAAGUGAGGCUGUCAGAUCGGGCUCCGGUCGCCGGUGGAAGUGGCCGUGUAGCGACAUCGUGACCCAAGCGCCAAGCUCUUCCUGCCCACAUAAGAGGAAGCCUGGGCAAACUGCCUCGAAACGCAGACCGAGGCCUCCGGCCAGGCCCGUCGGGAGCCGCCUCCAGGCCCACAGUCCUUGGGUGGAGCUGGGCUCGGACAGCGGCCACGAGUGUGCAUGCGGCCCUUGUCACUGAGUCCCGGGACGGGCUGGGGCAGGGUCAAGUGACAGAGCUGUUCUCAGAGUCUCGAUUUCAGCUCCAGCUCGGGAUAGAAAAAUUCUCCCCCCUUUCCCAGCGGCAUGCUCCGGGGCAGUUGGCCUCCCUGAGCCUUGCUUUCAUCAGAAGUAAACAAAGGAUAAUCUUCUCUGGGCAGCUCAAGGAGGAAUGAAUACCUCAAGGGCCUGGCAAGUUGCAGACCCUACCGAGGUCCCAAGUCACGCGGAAGAUGCCAAAUCAGCCCGCUGCAGACAGGCAACCACCUGGUUCCACACUACAAA